rnacentral:rRNA from 1 species
GACGAACGCUGGCGGCGUGUUUAACACAUGCAAGUCGAACGGAAAGGCCCUGCUUUUGUGGGGUGCUCGAGUGGCGAACGGGUGAGUAACACGUGAGUAACCUGCCCUUGACUUUGGGAUAACUUCAGGAAACUGGGGCUAAUACCGGAUAGGAGCUCCUGCUGCAUGGUGGGGGUUGGAAAGUUUCGGCGGGUGGGGAUGGACUCGCGGCUUAUCAGCUUGUUGGUGGGGUAGUGGCUUACCAAGGCUUUGACGGGUAGCCGGCCUGAGAGGGUGACCGGCCACAAUGGGACUGAGAGACGGCCCAGACUCCUACGGGAGGCAGCAGUGGGGAAUAUUGCACAAUGGGCGGAAGCCUGAUGCAGCAACGCCGCGUGCGGGAUGACGGCCUUCGGGUUGUAAACCGCUUUCGCCUGUGACGAAGCGUGAGUGACGGUAAUGGGUAAAGAAGCACCGGCUAACUACGUG